GUUCCUGGCUCAGGACGAACGUUGGCGGCGUGCCUAACACAUGCAAGUCGAGCGGAGACAGUGAGUAGCUUGCUAUGAGCUGUUUUAGCGGCGGACGGGUGAGUAACGCGUGAGCAACCUUUCCCAGACAGGGGAAUAACACACCGAAAGGUGUACUAAUACCGCAUAAGACCACGGGAUCACAUGGUUCUGGGGUAAAAGAUUUAUCGGUUUGGGGUGGGCUCGCGUCCGAUUAGGUAGUUGGUGAGGUAACGGCCCACCAAG
rnacentral:rRNA from 1 species